UACGGGGGGGGCAAGCGUUGUUCGGAAUUACUGGGCGUAAAGGGCGCGUAGGCGGUUUGGUAAGUUGAAUGUGAAAACUCUGGGCUUAACCCAGAGCCUGCAUUCAAUACUGGCAGGCUAGAGUUCUGGAGGUGAUAGCGGAAUUCCUGGUGUAGCGGUGAAAUGCGUAGAUAUCAGGAGGAACACCUAUUGCGAAGGCAGCUCGCUGGGACGUAACUGACGCUGAGACGCGAAAGCGUGGGGAGCAAACAGG
rnacentral:rRNA from 1 species